GAUGAACGCUGGCGGCGUGCCUAAUACAUGCAAGUCGAGCGGUAAGGCCUCUUCGGAGGUACACGAGCGGCGGACGGCUGAGUAACGCGUAGGAACGUACCCCAAAGUGAGGGAUAAGCACCAGAAAUGGUGUCUAAUACCGCAUGUGAUCUAAGGAUUAAAGCUUCGGCGCUUUGGGAACGGCCUGCGUUCGAUUAGCUAGUUGGUGAGGUAAAAGCUUACCAAGGCGACGAUCGAUAGCUGGUCUGAGAGGAUGAUCAGCCAGACUGGGACUGAGACACGGCCCAGACUCCUACGGGAGGCAGCAGUAGGGAAUUUUCCACAAUGGGCGAAAGCCUGAUGGAGCAACGCCGCGUGCAGGAUGAAUGCCUUCGGGUUGUAAACUGCUUUUAUAUGUGACGAUUAUGACGGUAGCAUAUGAAUAAGGAUCGGCUAACUCCGUGCCAGCAGCCGCGGUAA
rnacentral:rRNA from 1 species